UACAACAUUAAAUGCUUAAUCUUUUGAUCUUACCACUCACAAAUAAAUAAAUAAAUCAUGUAACACAACUUUAUCUUGUUUAAUGUGCCUAAGGAUGCAGAAAAAAAUAAAGAAAUAGAUUUGGUUCUGUUGGUGUUUUUUUCACCAGCAGAGCUCAUGCACUUGAUCUCUACCUUAGUUUUGCAAAUAGGACAACACAUCAAGCAAAGUUUAUUAAUUCCACAAGUGAAAGUUCUAUGAGCAUGCACACUGAGCAGGAUGCUGCCAGCUACUAUUAAAGCUCUACUUCAACCUGCUGACCAAAUCAAAAAAAUAAAAGUGACAUUAUCAUCACUAGAGAUAUGCAACCAUCAAGACCUGCAUCUCUCAAGAUGGAGAGAUACACAAAAAUGGAAGAAGAAGACCUGUCGCUAAACUUUAAAUUUUACAUCAUUACCGUAAGGUAAUAUGGUAGUAUUCCUGCCUACAUUAAUAAAUUUACCUUAAUAUUUUCAUCUUCAUAAAUAUAAAAGAAAAUAAUUCUUUAUUGCUUCAUUUACUGCAUCAUAAAAGCUCCACAUGAAUAAACUUAUGGUAACCCUGUAGAAAUAUUUACUGUGGUGACAUAAAUAACAAUAAUAAUAGCUUAUGUAUUUACUUUCUUGCAUUAUUAAAACCCUAAGCCCCAUAAGAAUAAAUAUUUUUUGUGGAGGCAUAAAAAUACAGUUAUAUAUAUCAUGCACACAUAUUUAAUUUCUACACAAUUAAACUAGAAAAACAUAAAAACAAAAAAGAGAAUCCUGCUAGAAUCUGUCAAUUCAAGUCAACUCAAAGAACAAUCAAUCACUUACUGGCUGACCGCUAACCCAUUAUUAAAUUCGACCCUCGAGUUUUGGUUUUCUUUUUGGAGUGUAAUCAUGCAGGAACAACAUUAUGACAAUGAGAGAGUCUAUUAGUGGCACCCACCUGGAGCGCUGCCGGUUAGCUCACUCUGAAGAUAAUCAACACCAACUAUUGCAAACAUCUAGCUUGGGGAGGAGCAUCGCCUAGUUUUCAGGUAACUAUACCCACGCGAUUAUCGAGUCUAUUUUAUAUAGUCAUAAAAUACCAAAAAUAUAUGAGCACAUGAAGGUUCACCAAAGUAUCAUAAGAAAAUAUAAAAAUACCAAAAAAUACAUGGGCACAUGAAGGUCCAGAUCUUUAGAGUCUUUUGAGUCCAAUAGAAAUGAAUAAAAACUAAACAAAAUACUUAUCUAUAUAUUAAGGUGUGAUCAUCGAGUGUGUCUACAGUCAGUCUAGUUUAGAGUCAAAUAAAAAUUAUAGAACAUUAAAAUUUUUCUUGGAGAUGAUGAAUAGUUUCUCUACAGUAAUUCCUUUCAAGUGCCUAGUUUUCAACCAUGAAUUCUCCUGCGUUUUAGACAUGACCACUUUAAGAAUUUACUCUGAACCUAAAAUUUGUGGAGGCAUAUGUUUAAGCUGAGUCUAGGUAAGUGAUAUUAUAAAUGAAGGUCUAAGCUGCUAUUUAUCUUAUUCCUAGUAUUACUAAGUUUUGGAGAUUGAUGUUCUAAAAAAACCAAAAUCUUACUUGAUGAGCUCUUGUAUGAUAAAGUUUAAAUUCCUACCAAAGCCAUAUAUGAUACAUUUAGAGUUAGGAAAACCUUUGCCCAUUCACGUUGCUUGCUUUGCACUGAGUUUAGUCAACCUUUGUUGUAUACUUUAUGAGAGUCUUGUCAUGCUUUUAAAAUCAAGAUCACUCACGCACUCCACCUACAUAUGCAUUGCUCCUACUCUAGGAGUAAGCACAAUUAUUUUCCAUUCUCAUCCAGAUCUGUCUUAAAAAAGUUUUUCUCCAACACUAGGAGUGAACACCAAAAAAUAUAACCUAUAGGACAGCCCCCAUUUAAUUGCUCUAAGUUCUUAUCAUUAUCUCUCCAAUUAUUUAUAUUCAAAGGAUACAUGUGGCUAUGCAAAAGUAUUUAAAAAGAAAAAAAGGGAGUAAAAGAUGGACAAGUGUCCCAGCAAUUAAAAUAAUGGGUACAUCGAUGCCCGCCUCCCAUAGUGAUAAAAAAAGAAAGAAAGAGAGAAUAAAAUUGCCCAUGUUUUCCUGCGAAAAGUUCGAAAGGAGGGAGUAAUUUUCAAAGAGCAAAAGUAGAAUAAGGAUUAGCCACUAAAUACUAUAUAUAUACACCUAUCCACCAUAUUCCAUACACAUACACAUCUUGAUUUGAUUGUAUGCCUCGAUUCUCUAUGGAUCCAUUGUUUGACUUUACAAUAUAUGAAUUGCAAGUAUGCUCAUCCUUGUUAUUGCCACUCCUAUAAGCUCCACUAUAUAUAUCCUUAGUUGUAGGAAGGCAUAACCUCAUUAAUGCCUCAGUG
rnacentral:lncRNA from 1 species